rnacentral:rRNA from 1 species
UACGUAGGGCGCAAGCGUUGUCCGGAAUUAUUGGGCGUAAAGAGCUCGUAGGCGGCUUGUUGCGUCGACCGUGAAAACCCGGGGCUCAACUUCGGGCUUGCGGUCGAUACGGGCGGGCUAGAGUUCGGUAGGGGAGACUGGAAUUCCUGGUGUAGCGGUGAAAUGCGCAGAUAUCAGGAGGAACACCGGUGGCGAAGGCGGGUCUCUGGGCCGAUACUGACGCUGAGGAGCGAAAGCGUGGGGAGCGAACAGG